UGGACAAGUAAUACAAUGAAAAAGUUAAC
rnacentral:sRNA from 1 species